CCCGAAAGAUCGAACGGGGAGAUUCAUCGUCGGCGGUGUCGGCUUCGCCGUGACUGCGAUGUUGCGUGUCCGUUCCGCGGACCACGCGGCACGCGGUCGCGUCGCGUAUGUCCGGCGACGUUGGCGUGCACUUCUCCCCUGGUAGGACGUCGCGACCCGUCGAGCGUCGGCAUAAGGCCCGAUCGGAUUAGCCUGCCUCGCGGCGUUCGCGUCGUGGGCAGACCGUCGGUCGCCCGGCCGGCUGCUCGUCGGUACACGCACGGUAUUCAGCCGCAUCGAACGUGCGCCCGGCCCGCCGCAAGCGCGGCCAGCGAUUCCCGGUGGUCGGACAUAGCGCCGUCCCCGGGCCUGGCCACCUGUUAGCGGUCGGUGUCCUCGGGCUGGCUUGAACGUUAAAUUGAAAAGAAUACCGGUCGGCGACGCUAUUGCUUUGGGUACUUUCA
rnacentral:rRNA from 1 species